rnacentral:rRNA from 1 species
ACUGGUCGAGUCGGCCUGCGCGGAAGAUGUAACGGGGCUAAACCAUGCACCGAAGCUGCGGCAGCGACACUGUGUGUUGUUGGGUAGGGGAGCGUUCUGUAAGCCUGUGAAGGUGGCCUGUGAGGGUUGCUGGAGGUAUCAGAAGUGCGAAUGCUGACAUAAGUAACGAUAAAGCGGGUGAAAAGCCCGCUCGCCGGAAGACCAA